rnacentral:lncRNA from 1 species
GCUAACUGAAGCCUUAGUGUGUCUAGGAUUUUGGAAAUGAAACUAAGAUCUGUAUGACUUGAUUUUCUUUUCCAAAUUCAACUCCAUAGUCCAUGAUAGUUCAGAUUACAAAGGGUAGCACUUACCCACAAUCAUCACAGCUGAGUCUUUUUUAUUCCCCAAGUGUUGCCUUUUGAAUCUAUCCCAUCUGCUCAACUCUAUUAUGUGAAUUGUUUCCCUCCCUGUUUUAUAGACCCUCACACAGAGUUCAAAUAAGUUAGUUACAAGCUUGUGGAACUGUUUGAUUUUGAUAGAUUGUGAAAGAAAAGCUCUCUAUUCCAAGUGUAUAAAAAAAUAGACAUUCUAAGUAAACAAAUAGUAAGUAUUGCAAACAGAAUGUAAUUUAGCCUCCAUACAACCCUGUAAACUUUUGAGAUGGUAGCAAUCAAAUCAGAUUAACUUAGAAAAUAUUCUAAAUAAGAAAAUAAAAACAAACAAACAAACAAAAAACCCAAAGGCAAUGCAUUUAAAAGGUGAAACAGUGGACCCCAAACCCAAAGAAACAUGAAUGGUACUUUUUCUAAAAGUUUUCUUCCAUAGUCAAACGAACUUACAUCAAGAGCUUUUCUUGGGAACUAAGGUUAAGAAUGUCUACUCUGAUAGAAGACAAAGUCACAGCCCUAUGAAGAAUAUGCUCCUUCCUAGAUGAAAAAAAUAACCAGUGAAAGUUCAGUAAAUACCUUCGAACUAUUAUGGAAUCAAAGUUAACAAAAUAGCACAGACACCUCCAGCCUUAACCUAAAUAAAUCUUCAUGGAAAAGAAUCAGUUCCCAAUACUGCAUCUUGCCUGUAAACUUCGUUUGCCACUCUUCCCCAUUCUCUAAGAUCUAAGGACCAGAAAGAUCUCAGAGCCUUUGCUUUGCCUUCACCCAUGAGCCACAUUCUGACCCCUGUCAGUGUAGAUUGGUACCUGACCCAUGACACACUCACAGAAACACACACAUUUACCACGAGUCUAAUAGGAACACAAGAAGAGGAAAGAAGACGAGAAGUUUCGUGUCUGGGUUUUCUCAAAUAUUUUCUAUCAGCAGUAUUGUGUUCUAGCAAUAUAGCCCUAAAACGUUGUUAUGGUACAUGAUUAGGGAGGGGAAAAAAACUACUAAAACCUUCAUCUAUAGUUUAAAAAAUAAGAAACAAAGCCCUAUAAAAUGUUAAUGAACGAUUUUUACAAGUCUUCUAAGAUUUGUUUUCAUCAAAAUAUAGUUACUCUAAUUAGAAAAUUUAUUGAUAUAUUUGGCAGAUUCUUUAAAAUUCAAAGAUAUAAUUCUAACUGUUGUAUUGUGGAAGUGAUCUAUAGUUCACCAACUAUAAUCACUUGUAAAGUUAAGCAAUGCACUAAAAUUAUGAGAUGAGAAACUCCCUCGUAAUGAAUGUUUGGCGUGUGAUAGCAUGUGGUAUAUAAUGAGGCUUUGUGAAAGGCUUUGCACAUCAACAAGAGUAUGCAGGUUAUCCGAUGCCAGCUUUAUAAUGAGAUUUUUGCAAUAUGUAGGAAGAACAGCAGAGUGCCUGGGUCUACUCUGGAGCCUGAGUAGCUGGAUGCACAGUACACCAUUACCUCCAACUGAGGAACCACAUGGGGCAUAGAACUCACCUUGUCUGCACCCCAGUUUCUCAACGUUAAAACGUGAAUAGUGAAUACUGCAUAAUAGUCACCUUGUGGUACUCUUAGGGGGAUCAUUGAAGGUUUGAAAUGGUACAGGAUGAGAAGUAAUUGCUCCAUAAAUGUUAAGUAUUAUCAUCACUUAGAAGGCUAUGACAAACAUGUCAGAUAUGUAUUUUGUAAUAACUUUCUUGUGGAAAGAAAUAUGCUGUACACUAAUUGUGUUAAGAAAUAUUGGAUACACAUUCUUUGUGAGGAUGUGGUCAUUGGUAGGUUUCCCAUGCUCUAGUUGAAGUCUCAACUCCUACACAUUUCAACAGCACUUAUUCUACUUAGAAUGUUAUUGAAGAAGAAAGAGAGAAGGAAAAGGAGGAGGACAAAGAGUAAGAAGAAAAGGAGGAAGAGGAGGGGAGAAGGAAAAUUAAGUUUGGAGGGAAACUUUGGAUGAAUAUGGAAGUCAUAAGAUGGUAUGAGAGUUAAAAUGAUCAUAUUUCAUGGGAUACAUGUAUAAAAUCUCAAUAAUAAGAAAUUUUGGGGUGUUUUUCUUCUGAAUCUCAGAAGUCUACAUGAGUCUGUUGCUUCUAGGUACCAGGAAACCAAAGUAAGCCCCUUGUGUUUUGAAGUAUAAAGUACUCAGUCAUAUCAUAAUAAAAUUGUUUUAUUUUUAUUUCAGAGAUCUUAGAGAAGACUAAAUGAAAAGUGAUAACAUUCUGGCUAGACUUAAAAAUACCCUUCAUACUCAAGAGCAACAUAUAUAUAUAUAUAUAUACACAUAUAUAUAUAUUAGCACAAGGGGGACAAUCAGCAAUCUUCCUCAGCAAGAUUUGACUUCUUUGGUUAAAAAAAAAACAUUUCUUUGUAUAUUUAUUUAAUGAAUUAGAAGGAAAAGUCUUCAUCACUGAUAGACAUUUCUAAGGACAAUACAUAGUACUUUAUUGUAUGAGAUAUAAUGGAUGGGAUAAUACAUUCUCAUUAAAUUCUUUUAGAAUCAUCACAAUUUUUAUAGCUACCAUGAGUCUCAUAUACACAUUCAAAGUGAAUGACUUUUUAAUAGGUUUAGUUCAUACAGGACAUCAGCGUUGACAGCAUAUGGCCUAAUAACUUCUAGAGAAGUCAGUUUAUACACUCUAUUAGGUGAUUUGCUGUGAUAAUACUAAAAAUUUCUGCUUUUCAUCACUUUAAAACAUGCCAACUGCGAUGCCAGGAAUUAUAUCUAUUCUCUUGGUUAGCACGUUUAUGACUGAUAAAAUGCAGCUAUUUAUCCAAAAUCAGACAACCAGUAAUGGAGACACCCACAAACUGAAGUCUGGGGCCUGUCUCCGGCCAUCAUGUUUGUGAAGGGAACAAGGGCUUAGAUGAGCUUCCUGAUUAAUUUGAACAUGGGUCUGCCUUGAUUUUUCUUUAAACCAUUUGUAGAAUAAGAAUACAUUCUUCUAGCCUUGAAAAUUUCCCCACAAGUCAUGGGAAUAUCCUUUUAAAAACAACAGUGCUGACCUGGGAAUACAAUGUAAACUAUAAAGAACUGUUAUGUAGUUACAAUUUUGUAGACAUAAUUAACAAACUAGAGCUUCCCUUUGUUUUGACAGUGAUUUCUG